GACGAACGCUGGCGGUGUGCUUAACACAUGCCAGUCGAACGGAAAGGCCCUGCUUUUGUGGGGUGCUCGAGUGGCGAACGGGUGAGUAACACGUGAGUAACCUGCCCUUGACUUUGGGAUAACUUCAGGAAACUGGGGCUAAUACCGGAUAGGAGCUCCUGCUGCAUGGUGGGGGUUGGAAAGUUUCGGCGGUUGGGGAUGGACGCGCGGCUUAUCAGCUUGUUGGUGGGGUGGUGGCUUACCAAGGCUUUGACGGGUAGCCGGCCUGAGAGGGUGACCGGCCACAUUGGGACUGGGAUAGGGCCCAGACUCCUACGGGAGGAAGCAGUGGGGAAUAGUGCACAAUGGGCGGAAGCCGUAUGCAGCAACGCCGCGUGCGGGAUGACGGCCGUCGGGUUGUAAACCGCUUUCGCCUGUGACGAAGCGUGAGUGACGGUAAUGGGUAAAGAAGCACCGGCUAACUACGUG
rnacentral:rRNA from 1 species